CGGGUUCUCCCCUUCUCGUGACAGGCAGCAUUCCAGUGGCCUUAAGCAAUUCCGAGGGAGCUGGCUCUGUCCGGAUCCUGGUCCGUUUACCUGGCGCCCACCUGUACAUACAGGUCCUCGGGAAUCAACGCCGCACGGUUGACUGGUGGUUCCCGC
rnacentral:ncRNA from 2 species